rnacentral:rRNA from 1 species
UACGGGGGGGGCAAGCGUUGUUCGGAAUUACUGGGCGUAAAGGGCGCGUAGGCGGCCUUCUAAGUCGGACGUGAAAUCCCUCGGCUCAACCGAGGAACUGCGUCUGAUACUGGAAGGCUUGAAUCCGGGAGAGGGAUGUGGAAUUCCAGGUGUAGCGGUGAAAUGCGUAGAUAUCUGGAGGAAUACCGGUGGCGAAGGCGGCAUCCUGGACCGAGAUUGACGCUGAACGGCGAAAGCUAGGGGAGCAAACGGG